GGUAAGGAUUUUUUAAAAUCCACAAUACAUUCUUAAACCUAAAAUU
rfam:Callithrix jacchus chromosome 4, whole genome shotgun sequence